rnacentral:ncRNA from 1 species
CCUGUGGACUGUCAUAUCAAAUGUUAUUAGUAUGGGAAACUGUACGAGGACAGACAGGGGGAAGCAGGAA